UCAUAGUAAAUGGAACAUGAUUGCAUAUUUAAAAAAAAAUAGUUUUCAUAGUGAACAGUAUAUGAUCAGGUAUAUGUUUAAUUAAUGCUUAAUACAUAAAUACUAUGUGGAUUUUAAAAUGCUGUACCUACUCACAGUUAUUUUAUAAUAUUUUAUUAUUUCAGCAAAGCAACAUACUGCAGUUCCACAGAGCAGUAUUCCAGCUUUCUUCACUGAAGAGUUUUCUGGCAGUUAAGGACUUACAGCAUGACAGCAUGUUCCAAAAAAGUUCUGGCUGAUCAGAACCCGCUGAGGCUCCAUCAUGGUCUUGCAGAUAUAAAUGGUGCUUCCUUAGCAGCCGGGGUGAGCACAUGAUCCAGUUCAGACCAACAAGGUUUAACAGAAGUGAGUUGAGACAUUCCAGGGAAACUUCUGAUUUUCUAAUUAAAUAAGAUGUAUGCAACUGGCUUGCUUCUUUCUCUUCCCCUCCCUUAACUUCUUCUGACUUACAUACGAAUGUGAAGGCUGAUGCUAUGGCAGCCAUCUUGGGAGAAUGAGAAGCAAGCAAAGAGGACCACAGAAAUAUCAUCCCUGAUCCUGAGCCAGCACUGCCUACCUUUACGUUCCUUUAUUUAUUUUAUGUUUUUGAAGAGAAAAAUAAAUAUACAUUA